rnacentral:rRNA from 1 species
UACGUAGGGCGCAAGCGUUGUCCGGAAUUAUUGGGCGUAAAGAGCUCGUAGGCGGUUUGUCGCGUCUGACGUGUGAAAACCUAAGGCUCAACCUUGGGCUUGCAGUGGGUACGGGCAGACGUAGAGUGGCGGUAGGGUGACUGGAAUUCCUGGUGAUAGCGGUGGAAUGCGGCAGAUAUCAGGAGGAACACCGAGUGGCGAAAGGCAGGUCACCUUGGGGC